ACCAGACUCCUACGGGAGGCAGCAGUGGGGGAUAUUGCACAAUGGGGGGAACCCUGAUGCAGCGACGCCGCGUGGGUGAAGAAGCGCCUCGGCGCGUAAAGCCCUGUCAGCAGGGAAGAAAAUGACGGUACCUGAAGAAGAAGCCCCGGCUAACUACGUGCCAGCAGCCGCGGUAAUACGUAGGGGGCAAGCGUUAUCCGGAUUUACUGGGUGUAAAGGGGGCGCAGACGGCGAUGCAAGCCAGGAGUGAAAGCCCGGGGCCCAACCCCGGGACUGCUCUUGGAACUGCGUGGCUGGAGUGCAGGAGGGGCAGGCGGAAUUCCUGGUGUAGCGGUGAAAUGCGUAGAUAUCAGGAGGAACACCGGUGGCGAAGGCGGCCUGCUGGACUGCAACUGACGUUGAGGCCCGAAAGCGUGGGGAGCAAACAGGAUUAGAUACCCUGGUAAAG
rnacentral:rRNA from 1 species